AGUGAACGCUGGCGGUAGGCCUAACACAUGCAAGUCGAACGGCAGCACAGGAGAGCUUGCUCUCUGGGUGGCGAGUGGCGGACGGGUGAGGAAUACAUCGGAAUCUACUCUGUCGUGGGGGAUAACGUAGGGAAACUUACGCUAAUACCGCAUACGACCUACGGGUGAAAGCAGGGGACCUUCGGGCCUUGCGCGAUUGAAUGAGCCGAUGUCGGAUUAGCUAGUUGGCGGGGUAAAGGCCCACCAAGGCGACGAUCCGUAGCUGGUCUGAGGGGAUGAUCAGCCACACUGGAACUGGGACACGGUCCAGACUCCUACGGGAGGCAGCAGUGGGGAAUAUUGGACAAUGGGCGCAAGCCUGAUCCAGCCAUACCGCGUGGGUGAAGAAGGCCUUCGGGUUGUAAAGCCCUUUUGUUGGGAAAGAAAUCCAGCUGGCUAAUACCCGGUUGGGAUGACGGUACCCAAAGAAUAAGCACCGGCUAACUUCGUGCCAGCCGCCGCGGUAA
rnacentral:rRNA from 1 species